CUUGCUAAAGCCAUCUGUUUCAUC
rnacentral:siRNA from 1 species